AACGAACGCUGGCGGCAGGCUUAACACAUGCAAGUCGAACGCAUCCUUCGGGGUGAGUGGCAGACGGGUGAGUAACGCGUGGGAAUCUACCCUGAUCUGCGGGAUAGCUCCGGGAAACUGGAAUUAAUACCGCAUAUGUCCUGAGGGACAAAGAUUCAUCGGUUCAGGAUGAGCCCGCGUCCGAUUAGCUAGUUGGUGGGGUAAAGACCUAUCAAGGCGACGAUCGGUAGCUGGUCUAAGAGGAUGAUCAGCCACAUUGGGACUGAGACACGGCCCAAACUCCUACGGGAGGCAGCAGUGGGGGAUAUUGGACAAUGGGCGCAGGCCUGAUUCAGCCAUGCCGCGUGAGUGAUGAAGGUCUUAGGAUUGUAAAGCUCUUUCACCGGGGACGAUAAUGACGGUACCCGGAGAAGAAGCCCCGGCUAACUUCGUGCCAGCCGCCGCCGUAA
rnacentral:rRNA from 1 species